UACGUAGGGUGCGAGCGUUGUCCGGAAUCAUUGGGCGUAAAGAGCGUGUAGGCGGUCCGGUAAGUCCGCUGUGAAAGUCGGGGGCUCAACCCUCGAAUGCCGGUGGAUACUGUCGGGCUAGAGUACGGAAGAGGCGAGUGGAAUUCCUGGUGUAGCGGUGAAAUGCGCAGAUAUCAGGAGGAACACCUAUUGCGAAGGCAGCUCGCUGGGACGUAACUGACGCUGAGACGCGAAAGCGUGGGGAGCAAACAGG
rnacentral:rRNA from 1 species